AUAACUUGCCUUUCUUUCCCCGGCGUCGCCUCCCUCCUCCUUCCAUUCCGCCCCCCUCUCUCUUCUUCAAUCCUCCCCGCGCCGGAGUUGGAGGGAGAGGGGAGACGCUUUCCGCCGCCAACCCAGCGGCCCGAGUCGCCAAUCCGCGCGCCGAGCCGAUCCGGUUGAUCAAGCACAUCACUGCCUUUAGGGAAGCCCUUUGAACAGUAGUUUGUUCCGCAAAUCAGAUAAUUCUGUCACAGCAUGGCCUCAGCAGGGGUUACACGCUCUUCUUUGGGAUUUCAGAAUGACACAAGUUCUAGCAGUGAUGCAGAUCGACUUCCGAACGAGUUGGGCAAUAUGAACAUUAGGGAUGAUAAGGACAUUGAAGAUAUUGUAGUCAAUGGCAAUGGGACAGAGCCUGGUCAUAUCAUAGUGACUAGCAUUGAUGGGAGAAAUGGGCAGGCAAAGCAGACCAUUAGCUACAUGGCAGAGCGCGUGGUAGGUCAUGGGUCCUUCGGGACUGUUUUCCAGGCCAAGUGUCUGGAAACUGGUGAGACCGUAGCUAUAAAAAAGGUUCUUCAAGACAAGAGAUAUAAGAACCGUGAGCUGCAAACUAUGCGAGUGCUUGACCACCCAAAUGUGGUUGCUCUGAAGCACUGUUUCUUUUCAAAGACUGAGAAGGAGGAGCUUUACCUCAAUUUGGUGCUUGAAUAUGUGCCAGAGACUGCACAUCGUGUCAUUAAACAUUAUAACAAGAUGAACCAGCGCAUGCCUUUGAUAUAUGCAAAACUUUAUAUGUAUCAGAUUUGUAGAGCUUUGGCAUACAUUCAUAACUGCAUCGGAGUGUGCCACAGGGACAUAAAGCCGCAAAAUCUCCUGGUGAAUCCUCAUACUCAUCAGCUGAAAUUGUGUGACUUUGGCAGUGCGAAAGUUCUGGUAAAAGGAGAACCAAAUAUUUCUUACAUCUGUUCUAGGUACUACAGAGCUCCAGAGCUCAUAUUUGGUGCUACUGAAUACACAACAGCAAUUGAUGUUUGGUCUGCUGGCUGUGUUCUUGCUGAGCUGCUUCUAGGGCAGCCCCUGUUCCCUGGAGUCAGUGGUGUUGACCAGCUUGUUGAAAUCAUCAAGGUUCUGGGCACACCAACACGUGAAGAAAUCAAGUGCAUGAAUCCAAAUUAUACUGAGUUUAAAUUCCCGCAAAUCAAAGCUCACCCAUGGCAUAAGGUGUGAAAUAUGAAUGUUGUACUGGACCACAACACCUCUCGUCCUAUCCCUAAUCUCCAUCAAGGCUUCUGCAGUACUCACCUAAGCUUCGGUCUACUGCAUUGGAAGCAUUGAUCCAUCCAUUCUUUGAUGAACUUCGGGAUCCAAACACACGCUUACCAAAUGGUCGUUUCCUUCCACCUCUCUUCAACUUCAAGCCCCAUGAGCUGAAGGAUGUGCCGAUGGACUUUCUGGUGAAGUUGAUCCCUGAGCAUGCACGGAAGCAAUGCACCUUUGUAGGAUGGUGAUCUGUGACUGAGAGGAUGGCUUGAAGAUUAGUUAAGGACCAAAUUGAUGUCUGUUAGAAACCAGUGGAGACCGACAUUGCCUGCUGUGCUAUAAGAUGGGCAAUGCGUGAUUUUUUUGUCCGAGUAUCACCCCCCAACCCCCACAAAGGAAAACAAAAUGUUGUCAAUGUAACCAGAUCAUCCGCCAUUCUGUAAAGUAUUAGAAGAGUGUUGGAGGCUUGGAGCAUGCCCCCUGAGUCCAUGUAUCAGUUUGCCUGAUUUGUAGUAGCACCAUGCAAGGAUGCACCCUUUGUAUGACAAUGUUCGGUCCAACAUUUGCUUUGGAUCGAGGCUAUUCAUUCAUUUGUACUCAAUUGUGCUCUUCAUUG